AAUGUACUCCCUCCGUCCCAAAAUUCUUGUCUUAGAUUUGUCUAGAUAUGGAUGUAUCAAGUCACAUUUUAGUAUUAGAUACAUCCGUAUCUAGACAAAUCUAAGACAAGAAAUUUGGGACAGAGGGAGUACUUG
rnacentral:pre_miRNA from 1 species